rnacentral:rRNA from 1 species
UGGUCUUGACAUCCCGAGAACGUCUUGGAAACAAGAAAUUGCCUUCAUUCGAAGGAGCUCGGUGAC